GGGCGCAGUCGGGGGAUUGCCCACCGGCUGGGGGGCGACGGUGGGUGAGUGGCGGGCGUGAGGGCGUGAGGAGCAGCCUGAGACAGGAUAUUUAGUGGAAAUAAUGCAGUGGUUGUCAGGAAACGCGAGUGCAGCCACAUGGCUACUGCCAGUUCUGCAGCGAGGAUAUCCGGUGGCUGCAGAGUCUGUAAUUUAGAAUAAAAAAGAGCUCUCCCAAGCCCCGAGAGGCUGACCUCAGCGCCGCGUGGCGGUGGUGCGCCCGGCGCCCUCCGUGGAGACGGUCCAGCUGGUGACAGGUGGGGGAAGCCUCUUCCGAGGGGAUGUUAUAGCUUCAGAGAUCUUGCAAAUACUCUCCCCUUCGAAUUCAUGUUGCAAAAUUCAGCCAGCCUCUUCGGCAACAGGGUGGGGGGUCGAGGACGUGACAUUUAUACAAUGACUACCAAGCAAGCCUGUAAAUGUGAGUUAGCACAUCCUGCAUAAAACUGACAGUGAAGCAUCAAGCCUAAAUCACCUAUCUCUGUUCCGGAGAAGAUUCAGCAUACCACGACACAAGUGGUUGAUUAAAUGAGAAAACGUGUGGCAAGCAUCUGGUGUAGCAAAGGAGAAAUGGAAACUGUUGGGAGAUGGGCCCUGGCUUGGACCCAGAGGCAGCGUGCGGAUGCGAUGGCUGAUCCCUGUCAUCUGGACUUGCCUGAAUGUAGAAGCUCAGUCAAGGCUGGGAGCAGAAUGCCAAUGCUGUCCGCAGGGCGGGACAAUGGUUCUCCACAUCAGGCAAGCAAGUCCCUUGAACUGAGCCUGCACUCUAUUUCCCCCCUCUUUUCUCUCUUAAUCCCCCCAAAGUUAGGUCUCCCUUCCAGCUUCACUCGUGGAACCAUCAGUGGGCAACUCAUUUGUAAACUAACUUCAGGGAGCUGUACACUUUCCUUCAACUAUUUUGAAGAGUAGAGGAAAUACUGACUUUCCUUGCCCUGCUUCAAACCAGAGGUCUUUAUUAGUUUCAGUUACCUGAGGGGGGAAAAAUUAUUAAAACAACUCUUGGCAACUUGUAAGAAACAGAAAAGGAUUUCCUCAAAAGAAUUUGCAUCACAC